AGAUAUUCUGGUUUGGAGACUUAAACUAUCGUAUCAGUAUGGCGGAAGCUGAGGUACGGAAGCUGGUUGCCAAUAAGAAAUGGGAUGAACUACUCAACAGUGAUCAAUUGCACAAAGAACUCCAAAAUGGGCAUGUCUUUGCUGGUUGGAAGGAAGGAUUGGUUAACUUCGCACCAACUUACAAGUAUGAAUUCAACAGUGAUAGAUACAACGGAGAAAUUACGAGAGAAGGGGAAAAGAAGAGAUCACCAGCAUGGUGUGAUCGUAUACUAUGGUUAGGGAAAGGUAUAAAACAGAUGUUUUACAAGCGCGCAGAGUUAAAACUAUCAGAUCAUAGACCUGUAAGCUCAAUGUUCUCAGUAGAAGUGGAAAUAUUUGACCACAGAAAACUACAGAGAGUUCUCAAUGUUAAAAGUGCUGCAGUACAUCCUGACAUUCUGCUAGAGAUUGGAGAGUACUAAAACAUGAAACUUCUGCAGAUAAAAACUAACAUUAGGUGAGUUGCCAGAAUACAACUCGCGACGAAAAAUAGCUACAAAGAACAGAUCAUAUACUAGAGCUGCUACAAGA
rnacentral:misc_RNA from 1 species